GUUUUUUAUCCUCAUUAUAGGUCAUAGUUUUCUUUUUCUUACUACAUCUGUUUCUUAGACUGGAUGCCAGACAAUUUGAAUUUUACAUUCAAAUGGUGCUGUAUAGAUUUGAUUUCCUAUACAUGUUUUUGAUUAAUUUAUUUGAAACAGUUGAAUCCACUUUGUUCUAUUUUUUAUUUUUGAUUUGUUAGGUGACUCCAUAGCAGUGUUUACUAUAAGGCUAAUAUUACCCAUUACUGAGGUAAGAGUCCCCUGAAUAUUCCAUCGAAUGCCCUGUAUAUCCUGAAAUUGUCCAGUCUUGAUAUUUACUGCCCUUUGUGAGUACCAGGCACUGUUUCCUCUAAUUUUAUUGAAUGAUCUUUCCCACAAUUCUAAAGUAGUUUCCUCACAUGCAUGUGAUGCUCAGUACUUUGCUGAGUACUCAGAGGAGACUCUGUAGACAGCCAGAAUUUUCUCCCUGUGCAGUUUUCUCCUCUCUGGUACUUUCUCCUGCAAAUUAUAGCCACUUAGUCCUCCCCAGGGCCUCUACUAAGCUUCCUCAACUCAGGGAGUCUUCAGGACUCUGUGCCAAGGCUGGAACCUUUCUCAAGGCAAUAAGCUGAAAUAAAUGUCACCUGCAAGCUGAGGAGCCAGGAAGCCAGUCCAAGUCCCAAAACCACAAAAGAAGGGAAGCUGAUAAUGCAGCCUUCAGUCCGUGGCUGAAGCCUGAGAGCCCCUGGCAAAUCACUGCUGUAAGUCCAAGAGUCCAAAAACAGAAGAACUUGGAGUCUGAUGUUCCAGAGCAGGAAGCAUCCAGCAUGGGAGAAAGACAGAGGCCGGAAGACUCAGCCAGCCUCGUCCUUCCAGGUUCUUCUGCCUGCUUUUCUCCUAACUACUCUGGCAGCUGUUAGAUGGUGCCCACCCAGAUUGAGGAAUCGAUGUGCAAAUAAUUUCCUUGGGAGGAACUCUUUAGCCUGUAAAAGUGGUGGUCGUGUUGUGAAGAUGUGGAACAACCGGAAAUCUCAUGCACUGCUGGAGGAAUGUAAAUUGGUACAAGCUACCUGUCAAACCAGCAGCAGGUAAAUUCUAUACUUGAGCAAGUUAUCAUCUUAGGUAUCAAACCAACAAACAUUUGUUCAUAUAGUCACCAAAAUAUAGGUACUAAAAUUUAUAGCAACAAUGUUCAUAACAGCUCCAAAAAACAUGUAGUGUAGAAUAUUCUUAUUUCUAGAAUAUCCAAAUGU
rnacentral:lncRNA from 1 species